GAUGAAGAACGUAGCGAAAUGCGAUAAGUAAUGUGAAUUGCAGAAUUCAGUGAAUCAUCGAAUCUUUGAACGCACCUUGCACCCUUUGGCUAUUCCGAAGGGUAUGCCUGUUUGAGUAUCACGAACACCUCAACUCUCAUGGUUUGCCAUGAUGAGCUUGGACUUUGGGGGUCUUGCUGGCCUGUGGUCAGCUCCUCUCAAAUGGAUUAGCUUGCCAGUGUUUGGUGGCAUCACAGGUGUGAUAACUAUCUACGCUUGUGGUUUUCCACCAGGUAACCUUCAGCAAUGGGGGUUCGCUGGGGCUCAUAAAUGUCUCUCCUCAGUGAGGACAGCUCUUUGAACGUUUGAUCUCAAAUCAGGUAGGACUACCCGCUGAACUUAAGCAUAUCAAUAAGCGGAGGA
rnacentral:misc_RNA from 1 species